AUUGAACACUGGCGGCAGGCCUAACACAUGCCAGUCGAACGGUAACAGGAAGCAGCUUGCUGCUUUGCUGACGAGUGGCGGACGGGUGAGUAAUGUCUGGGAAACUGCCCGAUGGAGGGGGAUAACUACUGGAAACGGUAGCUAAUACCGCAUAACGUCGCAAGACCAAAGAGGGGGACCUUAGGGCCUCUUGCCAUCGGAUGUGCCCAGAUGGGAUUAGCUAGUAGGUGGGGUAACGGCUCACCUAGGCGACGAUCCCUAGCUGGUCUGAGAGGAUGACCAGCCACACUGGAACUGAGACACGGUCCAGACUCCUACGGGAGGCAGCAGUGGGGAAUAUUGCACAAUGGGCGCAAGCCUGAUGCAGCCAUGCCGCGUGUAUGAAGAAGGCCUUCGGGUUGUAAAGUACUUUCAGCGGGGAGGAAGGGAGUAAAGUUAAUACCUUUGCUCAUUGACGUUACCCGCAGAAGAAGCACCGGCUAACUCCGUG
rnacentral:rRNA from 1 species